CUCAAUCCUGAGCUGAAGGCAGGCCCUCAACCACUGAGCUACCUAGGGGCCCCUACAAUGUUUGUUUUGAAAAAUAUUCUACAUUUUCAUGUUUUCAUUCAUUCAAAUCAGAAUUCUUCGCCACAAAUGAACUGUUUUACUCUGUAGCUCUACCUAAGAAAGCUGGUGGGUUUUAUUUUCAUUGAAUUGGUUUCUGCAACUUCUCUCAACUGUAAAGAUAAAGGAAAAAAGAAUUUUCGGCUGGGAGGCUAACAGAUGACGCAUUUAUUGCAUCUUGUGUCUAUUACAGGACAAGCUAGAAUUUUAGUAUCUGACUAGAAAGGAAACAUGUUUUAGAAGUUGCGAUUUGAACAAUUAAAUUGAAGUUACAUAAGUAGUUACUGUAUUAGUCUCCUGCAGACACUUAGCACUCCACAAAGUCUGGCUACAUUAGGAUGCUACUUGUUAGGAAUUUGGAGCCCCUGUCUUCAUGCUCAGAAAAGCAUUUACCCUCUUCCAGCAUUACCCGCUGAAGCACCAUCCAAGUUGCAUGUGUGUACCAAAGAAGGGCAGACCAGGAAAACUGGUUUGUUUGGCUUUCGGGUCCCUGAAAAAGGUACAAGAAUAGCGGUUUUCCAUAAAAUGUAAUUGACUGAUAAUACGGUGUGUAUAAAAAGUUUGUAGUUAACAGUGAUUCAAAUGGCUCACACGAUGUGUCUGUGCCAUCAGACAAAAUAACAAAGUACAUUCCUUUACUUUUUACUUUUCUUUUGAUUGUGUAUUCUGCUUGCAAGAGUUCCUUUAAUAAGAGUUUGAAGGAUUUUUCAGGUUUGGGCUUUUAGAAGUUAUUGAGCACAUUUUGAACAAAUCUUGGGUGGCAAUUUAAUAAUUGCCUAGCUGCUCGAACUAUUUUGAACCAGCAGGGAAUAUGGAUUUUUGGAAAUACUGAAUAUCAUAAAACUCUUUUUCUAUAUCAGUACCAUUUAGUACAUAAUCCUGUGGGAAAAAUAACCUUCUCUGUUGGUGUGAUGUCAUUGGUGUGGGCUUUAGAACAGUAAAAAUCUUUUUUCUCGGGGAGAUAUGCAAGUCCAGGCGUGUGCAGAGGUGGAUGUGACCGCAGACAGAACUGCAGUAUGUUUCUCCUUCACCUGAAGUGAAUUAAUUCUAGCAGGAAUCUCUUUUUCAGUCCUAUUUUUUUUUUAAAGAUUUUACUUAUUUAUUCAUGAGAGACACAGACCUCAGGAUCAUGACCUGAGCCAAAGGCAGACGCUCAACCACUGAGCCACCCAGUUGCCCCCUUUUUGUUUUAAAUCAUUUGUUUGUGAUCAUUCUUUCAUUCUCUGCAUAGUCAACUGAAUAGUAUUGCAUCUUUUUACUUCCAAGAAGCUAAAUGUUCCUGUCUAUUGUUCGGGAUUCUGUGAAAUGAUAGAGACGUUCAUAUUUCUAAGUGGGUCAGGUAUGUGGGUUUUUCAUGUUUUGGGAUUAUUCCGUUCACUAAAUAUAUAUACUUUUCUAUUUGAAUAUUCUGAGACAAAGUGAUAUAUGUACUACACUAUACCAGGAGCUGGAGAAAUGCUAAAAUCUAAUAUUAUAAUUAAUGAUUUCAGCAGAAAUUCAGGAAAUAAUGAGUAUCUCUAGAUGCGAGUAUCUCUGGAGUAUUUAUUUAUAGUAACAUAUAAUUAUAUGUGUAUAUAUUUAUAGUAAAUAUGCUUCUUUUUAUAGGCCCAACUCUUUCACCUUUAAAAUAAAGAUACGUUUCUCUGACCAUAUAGAGUGAAGGUAAUGGAGUGAAGAUUGCUCUCUGUGGGUACUUGGACUUUUCCCUAAAACAGUGGUUCUCAGCCCUGGGUGCCCAUUGGAGUUACCUGAGGAGCCUUCAGAAAUACUGAUGCCUGGGCCCCACCUCCAGAGAUUCUGGUGUAAUUGGUCUGAGGUGCAGCCUGGGCUUUGGGGGUCUAAGUCUCCUCCAUCUUUUAAUUUGUAAAGGAAUCUAACAUCAGCCAGUGUCUUGGAACCCUGAUGUCGAGCGGCAGCAGAAACUGGUGCGUGUUACGCUUGAUGGAGUGAAGGAUGGGGAAACACCCUGCUGCCCCUGGGACCCCGCCUGACCUUUGCUUUGCCAGGGUGGCAUGGGACUAUGCACAGUAGAAGCAGACCGCCCUCCACUGAGUAGCCUUCAGGCAGUCAGUGUUAAACAUGAGUCUCAUCAGGUUCAUUCAUUGCUUAACCAGGGUAAUUGUGUGACUGUCGGGAAAUUGUUGACAAUGGUGCUGUUAGUUCUUCUGAAAAGUCUGGGUUUAUCUGUUUAGCAGGAAUCGAGUCCAGCCCGUUCCAGGCGUGGGGGGCAGCACUUCAGCUGCGCUGUGGCCCACGGUGGCCGCGUGCUCUGUGCCCUGAAGGGACCAGGGUGAUGGCAACCUUCUGGCCAGACUGUACAGUUAUCUGAAGCCUGAUUCCAGCCGCCUCCUGUCGAGCUGUUGGCAGGGUCGCCGUCCUCCCUGCCGCACUCCGUUUCCGAGAAGGCGGAGAUGAAACGAGAGCUGUUGAUGCAGACUUUCUCUCCUCCGUAUGAUGCUCUCAGUACCUUGUCUGCAGGUGGUGUGUCUUUCCUCUCAGAUAGGGUCCUGCCCUCCCAAAUCAUAUAUCUGCAUGCACACAGCCAUUUGCAGCGUUUUGUGAACAGGAGUUAGAAUGUAUUACUAACAAGUUCUUUCGCUUGUUACAUAGCAUUGGUUUAUAAUAGCAGCAGCAUAAGUUGUUAUUUGCAGACUUGCUCUGUUUUCCCAGGCAAGCCCGUCUGAAGGUGCUCACUGACUUAGAUUUCCUGAGGGAGUGGGGCCCUGCCUUUGGUUCUCUAUCAGGAGGCAAACAGUCUCAAGGAGAAGAUGUUUGGGGAUGACUCCUGUGAGGUCAGAUCAGAUCAGAAAGGGGAUGGUGAUGGGGGUAAAUUUGGAAAACACACUGUCAAAAUAACUAAGAACUGUAAUCCACGAUCCCUGGG